AGCUUUGUGCAGUGGCAGUAUCGUAGCCAAUGAGGUUUAUCCGAGGCACGAUUAUUGCUAAUUAAACUGCCAUGAACACUGCCGUUUAUACUACCUAUCACACAAAAGAAGUAAAUGAAAAGUAUGUUACCUUUUACUGGUG
ensembl:snRNA U4 U4 spliceosomal RNA